GACAGAUACACAAAUUUGUACAUGUAACAUGGCUACAAGCAUUUGACAGGGAUGGUGAUUCAUUCAGGCCCUGCUGCUGGCCAGACCUAAAUGCUUCUUAAUUCUCAGGUGUAGCAUUUGCCCUAGUGUUUCUCAGCCCUCCUGGAUCUGCUUCUGCUACUGUUUAAUACCAGUCAUGAAGAUUGAGUUGUAGAAGCUAUUAAUCCAGCAAUCCUGUG